AAAUUGAAGAGUUUGAUCAUGGCUCAGAUUGAACGCUGGCGGCAGGCCUAACACAUGCAAGUCGAGCGGUAGCACAGAGAGCUUGCUCUCGGGUGACGAGCGGCGGACGGGUGAGUAAUGUCUGGGAAACUGCCUGAUGGAGGGGGAUAACUACUGGAAACGGUAGCUAAUACCGCAUAACGUCGCAAGACCAAAGUGGGGGACCUUCGGGCCUCAUGCCAUCAGAUGUGCCCAGAUGGGAUUAGCUAGUAGGUGGGGUAACGGCUCACCUAGGCGACGAUCCCUAGCUGGUCUGAGAG
rnacentral:ncRNA from 1 species